UACGAGAGGCCCAAACGUUAUUCGGAUUUACUGGGCUUAAAGAGUUCGUAGGCGGUCCAGAAAGUUGGGUGUGAAAGCCCUCGGCUCAACCGAGGAAUUGCGCUCAAAACUACUGGACUUGAGGGAGAUAGAGGUGAGCGGAACUGAUGGUGGAGCGGUGAAAUGCGUUGAUAUCAUCAGGAACACCGGAGGCGAAGGCGGCUCACUGGGUCUUUUCUGACGCUGAGGAACGAAAGCGUGGGGAGCAAACAGG
rnacentral:rRNA from 1 species